GACGAACGCUGGCGGCGUGCUUAACACAUGCAAGUCGAACGGAAAGGCCCUGCUUUUGUGGGGUGCUCGAGUGGCGAACGGGUGAGUAACACGUGAGUAACCUGCCCUUGACUUUGGGAUAACUUCAGGAAACUGGGGCUAAUACCGGAUAGGAGCUCCUGCUGCAUGGUGGGGGUUGGAAAGUUUCGGCGGUAGGGGAUGGACUCGCGGCUUAUCAGCUUGUUGGUGGGGUAGUGGCUUACCAAGGCUUUGACGGGUAGCCGGCCUGAGAGGGUGACCGGCCACAUUGGGACUGCGAUACGGCCCAGACUCCUACGGGAGGCAGCAGUGGGGAAUAUUGCACAAUGGGCGGAAGCCUGAUGCAGCAACGCCGCGUGCGGGAUGACGGCCUUCGGGUUGUAAACCGCUUUCGCCUGUGACGAAGCGUGAGUGACGGUAAUGGGUAAAGAAGCACCGGCUAACUACGUG
rnacentral:rRNA from 1 species